AAGUCGUAACAAGGUAACCGUAGGUGAACCUGCGGUUGGAUCAUUAAUAAAUUUUUAACUGAGUGCUUCAAAAACCACUUUAAUAAAGGUGGGGAUUGUACCUCUUUUAAACACUAUUGUGCACUAUAAAAUUAUUGUCUCUUGGGUAAUUUCUUUUUCUAUUUUUUUGAAAAAAAAAAGAGGACGAGAGGGUGCCCAAGUAAACUAUUUGAACUUUUUAUUUGAAAUUUUUAUUAGUCUUGAAUUUUGAAAAUUUUUAUAAAUUUAAAAAACAACUUUAGACAACGGAUCUCUAGGCUCUCA
rnacentral:misc_RNA from 1 species